CGUCAAGUCCUCAUGGCCCUUAUGGGCUGGGCUACACACGUGCUACAAUGGCGGUGACAGAGGGCAGCGAAAGGGCGACCUAGAGCGAAUCCCUUAAAAACCGUCUCAGUUCGGAUUGUUCUCUGCAACUCGAGAGCAUAAAGUUGGAAUCGCUAGUAAUCGCAGAUCAGCAUGCUGCGGUGAAUACGUUCCCGGGCCUU
rnacentral:rRNA from 1 species